GACAGAGGAUGCAAGCGUUAUCCGGAAUUAUUGGGCGUAAAGCGUCCGCAGGUGGCACUUCAAGUCUGUCGUCAAAGACUGGGGCUUAACCCCGGAAAGGCGGUGGAAACUGAAGCGCUAGAGUGCGGUAGGGGUAGAGGGAAUUCCCGGUGUAGCGGUGAAAUGCGUAGAGAUCGGGAAGAACAUCGGUGGCGAAAGCGCUCUACUGGACCGCAACUGACACUCAGGGACGAAAGCUAGGGGAGCGAAUGGG
rnacentral:rRNA from 1 species